rnacentral:misc_RNA from 1 species
AAUUUUGCAAUUUUAAAAGCUCAAGCUAUCAAGGAUCUUGAUAAUAAAUCUAGUUUUAUGCUCCUUUCCUCUUCACAAACAUGUGAAAGCAAGAUGACUAUAAGACAAUUCAGUACGAGUGUUUGUGUCUGCGGCAGGAACAGACAAUUCCUUCUCUAUUGGCUAAAUUCAGGAUUGCCUUUCCGUUAUGGGUUUUAGCUCGCCCAACAAAUUCAAUGAUUAAAAGAAAUCGAGAAUAAAGUAGAAGAAAGAUCAUCCAUGCAUAUAGGCUUGCUGCUUGCUUGAGCCAUGCCGUUUUUGAUGUGCAUUAAGGAAGCAUAUUUCUGGUUCUGUUAUUUCUUUUCAUUCCCUAACUGUUGAUGGCAAGUGAUGGUCUGCUCCACAACAAGUCUGCGUGCUGUUUUCUUUUCUUCUUUGGAAACACUUCUAUAUUCAUAUGAAAUCCAAACUGAAAUUAUCAGAUGCAUACUUUUGCUUCAUGUUCAAAUGAAUCUCAAAGAUAGGAAUUUCAUUAGAUAAUAAAGGAUUACAAGACCCACAGGCCCCAAGUGCAGAGGAAUAAUCCUAUCACCAAAAAGUGGUGAGUGGCA